rnacentral:rRNA from 1 species
CCCUACGGGGGGCAGCAGUGGGGAAUAUUGGACAAUGGGCGAAAGCCUGAUCCAGCCAUGCCGCGUGUGUGAAGAAGGCCUUUUGGUUGUAAAGCACUUUAAGCGGGGAGGAGGGCUCUGUGGUUAAUACCCAUGGAAGUCGGACGUUACCCGCAGAAUAAGCACCGGCUAACUCUGUGCCAGCAGCCGCGGUAAUACAGAGGGUGCGAGCGUUAAUCGGAAUUACUGGGCGUAAAGCGCGCGUAGGCGGCUUGUUAAGUCGGAUGUGAAAUCCCUGGGCUCAACCUAGGCAUUGCAUACGAUACUGGCAAGCUAGAGUAUGGGAGAGGAAGGUAGAAUUCCAGGUGUAGCGGUGAAAUGCGUAGAGAUCUGGAGGAAUACCGAUGGCGAAGGCAGCCUUCUGGCCUAAUACUGACGCUGAGGUGCGAAAGCAUGGGGAGCAAACAGGAUUAGAUACCCCGGUAGUCC